AAGGGAAUUGCGGUGCAAGACCGCAGCCGCCCAGCGACUGUGACCCCGACGAAGGCCGAGUGACACCACUGCGAGAGCGGGAAGGUUCGGCCGGAGGAUGACGGGAAGCCAGGAGACCU
rnacentral:ncRNA from 2 species